rnacentral:rRNA from 1 species
UACGUAGGGCGCUAGCGUUGUCCGGAUUCAUUGGGCGUAAAGCGCGUGUAGGCGGUCCGGUAAGUCCGCUGUGAAAGUCGGGGGCUCAACCCUCGGAUGCCGGUGGAUACUGUCGGGCUUGAGUACGGAAGAGGCGAGUGGAAUUCCUGGUGUAGCGGUGAAAUGCGCAGAUAUCAGGAGGAACACCAAUUGCGAAGGCAGCUCGCUGGGACGUUACUGACGCUGAGACGCGAAAGCGUGGGGAGCAAACAGG